UACUCCAUGGGUUGGAGGAUUGCCUUUGGUAGGUAGUAGUAGUUAUUGUGCACAUUUCCUCUUUGGUAAGAGGUUCACCUUUGGCCAGGUGUUAAAAAUAAUUUCAAGCCUUUGGUAGGCUGUGAUGUCCUGUGAUGUACAUUUACAUAUGGGAGACGUCCCUAGAUCCCUCUUUGGUAGAGGUUGCCUUUGGUAGGUUGUAAAACAGAUUUCCAGUCUUUGGUGGCCUGUGGUAUUUAUUUAACGUAGAUGUAAAUUUGGCAGACUAAAAUGGUUUUAAAAAAAAAAAAAGGAAAAAAAAGGGGGUUAAAAGGUAUGAUGGAUGUUUGGCAUUACUCCGGCUUGCUAAUUUAUGUGCUAUUUUAUGAUGUGCAACGCUAAUUUUAAGCAUAAAGUCUUAAUUGAGGGAAUGUAAAAAAGUACAUGUAAAGGUGAUGAUGAAUAAGAAAAAAUUAGAGGUUAUUUAAAGGGGGCUACAAAUUCUAGAACUAACAUGAUUUCUCUGCAUGUAUGUUUGUUUGCAUAAUGAGCCCUUAUUUUUAUACUUGGUCAAAAGUACUAUAAGCCCACUACACUUUUUCAUGAGAGUGGGAUGUAUGAUUGUUUAUAUGAUGAGCCCUUUAUUUUCAUAUUGGGACAAAAAGUCACUUCAUUCAAAACGUCAAACACCACAUUCUUUCUGUCCUGAGUGUUUGUUGCAGAGAACUUAUGUUGUAAAUUUAGAUGAUUAUGAAUUAGAGAGCAAAAUGUAUAUUUUCAGCGUUCCAACACAUGCUUCAUUUUGUGCUGUAAGCUAACUUGUAGUAUUCCAGUACGUCACAUGUUGUAUGUGCUUUAAAUUGUAUGUAUUCUGUAAAUUAUUGUAUGGGGUUGCUGAGAUUUUAUUGCUUGCGACCCAAACUGUGAAGAAGUGGGUUUGAAAUUUUGGUCAUGGAAUGUAGGAUCAGAAAACCAUGGACAAAGGUUUUUACCUGUGUUGAUAUGACUUUUGGAAACUCAAAUUGACCGGUCAAAAUUUUGCCAUGCCUUUAACAUGGAGUAGUAUAAAUAUUUUGAGUCUUUGAGAGUUCUGACAAAUGCAGGUGAUACCAUGUCUGUGUAAUCUGGUCCAAAUGUUCUAUAAGCGUAUAAGAGAGAAAUUCCCUUGACAGGUUUCAUAUGUUGCAACUGGUUAAUGCAAGUGUUAUACAAAUGUUUAAGUCAAACGCGUUAUAUGGCCGUACGGGAUCCCUUCUUUAAAAAAUAAAAAAUAAACCCUUUGGUACCAGAAAUCUUAAAUAAAUCCAAUACAAACUAAAAUUGGUAUACCUUACAAUAAUAUG